CCCAAAACUCCCCAAUUCCCCCCAAAACCCCCCAAACCCCCCAAAAUCCCCCCAAAAACCAGAAACCCCUCAAAACCCCAAAAAGCCCCCAAAUCACCCCAACCCCCCCCCAGGACGCGGGAGGUGCCAGGGGAGCUCUUUGACUACGAGGCCGUGCACAACAUCGACCCCCUGGGCACCGACUUCUGCGUCCGCUUCCGCGAGGGCAUGCGGCACUGGAACAUGACCGUGCAGUGGUGGCUGGCACACUACAUCCACCGCCGCGCCCCCCGCAGCCCCCCCCGUGCUGAGGAGCGCCUGCACCAUGCUGGUCUCGGCCUACUGGCACGGGCUGCACCCCGGCUACUACCUGAGCUUCCUGAGCGUGCCGCUGUGGCUGGCGGCCGAGCGGGCGGCCGAGAAGGCCCUGGGGGGGCUGCUGGCCCCGGGGGGGCCACCGCUGGCCCGCGGCCUGCAGUGGUUCCUGAAGAUGCGCGCCUACGACUACCUCUGCAUGGGCUUCGUGCUGCUGGGCGCCCGCCACACGCUGCGCUACUGGGCCUCCGUCGGCUUCUGCCUCCACCUCCUGCCCCUCCUCAUCCUCGCCGCCGCUGCCGUGGCGGGGCCACGCCAGAAAGUGGCCCAAAAGUGAGGGAAAGUGGCCCAAAAGUGAGGGAAAGUGGCCCAAGAUGGACCCCCAAGGGACGCAAAACACCACAAAAUGGACUCCAAAGGGACACAAAACAACACAAAAGGGACACAAAACACCACAAAAUGGACUCCAAAAUGAUUAAAAGUACUCAAAACAAUCCCAAAGGACUCUAAAAUGCCCUGAAAUGGAUGCCAAGGGGACAGAAAAUGCCCCAAAGUGCUGAGAAUUGCCCCAAAA
rnacentral:lncRNA from 1 species